rnacentral:rRNA from 1 species
AUACGGAGGAUCCGAGCGUUAUCCGGAUUUAUUGGGUUUAAAGGGAGCGUAGGUGGAUUGUUAAGUCAGUUGUGAAAGUUUGCGGCUCAACCGUAAAAUUGCAGUUGAAACUGGCAGUCUUGAGUACAGUAGAGGUGGGCGGAAUUCGUGGUGUAGCGGUGAAAUGCUUAGAUAUCACGAAGAACUCCGAUUGCGAAGGCAGCUGACCAGACUGCAAAUGACGCUCAUGCACGAAAGUGCGGGGAUCGAACAGGAUUAGAUACCCUGGUAGUCCGCACAGUAAACGAUGAAUACUUGUUUUCGGCGAUAUAAUGUCGGAGGCAAAGCGAAAGCGAUAAGUAUUCCACCUGGGGAGUACGCCGGCAACGGUGAAACUCAAAGGAAUUGACGGGG